UAAUACGAAAAAGUUGAAGACCGAGAGAAACACGACAAGAUGCAAGCAAUAAGACUUAAACUAUAGGUAUGUAUCUUCAAUUUUUACCUUAGUACGGAAUACAGACAGAACUGACAUGUAACAGGGUCGUUGUGGAGUAGAGGAACAGAGAAAACGAGACAAAAGGCUUGGCUGACGCCCAGAUGAUGCCAUGCCAGCUGAAGGCCUUAUCUUCUUUAAAGUGUUGACAUCCAAGUUGGUGGGGCAGCGAGUAAAGAACCUGGGCAUUAUCGUGCGUGACAUCUUCAUCAGGGUCGGCGCCAUGAUGGUCCAGAAUGUCAAUAGCAUGAGCGGCGGUCACACCAUGGAAAUCGUCACUGCAAGGUCGAAGGGAGCUCAAUCCGCAACCUCAACAUCGUGCUGGGCAGCGAGCACAGCGGCUUCGCCCCCUUUGUGAGGUCGACGAGAACCGCAGACACAUCCUCAUCAGGAUCGUGGUCCUCCGACUCUGUCUCACGGCUGUAGCAGGGCCGAUGGCA